CAUCGGUGAGUGGCAAGAACUUUAUGGCUGUCUCUGAAUAAUAGAUCCCAGCUGCCCUGCUUCCAGGUCCCUCGCUCCGUCCAGGCUUCCCUGUACACAAUCGGUGGAAUGGGUGCAGAACUUGGUGAAGCUGGACAUCAGCCGAUUCCUUCAAGACGCUGAUGUGUCGUGAUGGGCACACCACCCAGCGACUUGGGUCAUGGUCCUCGACUGCUCAGGCUUUGCCAUAUCCUUUCGUCCUUCUCUUCGCACGCAUAACAUCGAGAUGACCAACCCUUCAGGAAGUCAACAGAUUACGCAAGGACGCCACAGAACGCCUAACGUUUGAUCUAUCUAAGAUUUCUGAUUGGGGCCUUGAACCCAGUACCACACAACCAAGUAAAUACAACUAGGUAGGUAAAUACACACACACACACACACACACACACACACACACACACACACACACACACACACACACACACACACACACACACACACACACACACACACA